UACAGAGGCCUCGAGCGUUAGGCGGAAUCACUGGGCUUAAAGCGUGUGUAGGCGGACUUCUAAGUGCCUUGUGAAAUCCCACGGCUCACCCGUGGAACGGCUGGGUAUACUGGUUGUCUUGAGCCACUUAGGGGCUACCGGAACAAAUGGUGGAGCGGUGAAAUGCGUAGAUAUCAUUUGGAACGCCAAUGGUGAAAACAGGUAGCUGGGAGUGUGCUGACGCUGAGACACGAAAGCCAGGGGAGCGAACGGG
rnacentral:rRNA from 1 species